UACGAAGGGGGGCUAGCGUUGUUCGGAAUUACUGGGCGUAAAGCGCACGUAGGCGGAUAUUUAAGUCAGGGGGUGAAAAUCCCAGAGCUCAACUCUGGAACUGCCUUUGAUACUGGGUAUCUCGAGUAUGGAAGAGGUGAGUGGAAUUCCGAGUGUAGAGGUGAAAUUCGUAGAUAUUCGGAGGAACACCAGUGGCGAAGGCGGCUCACUGGUCCAUUACUGACGCUGAGGUGCGAAAGCGUGGGGAGCAAACAGG
rnacentral:rRNA from 1 species